GACGAACGCUGGCGGCGUGCUUAGCACAUGCAAGUCGAACGAUGAAGCCCAGCUUGCUGGGUGGAUUAGUGGCGAACGGGUGAGUAACACGUGAGUAACCUGCCCAUCACUAUGGGAUAACUCCGGGAAACCGGAGCUAAUACCGGAUAAUCCUUUCCUACUCAUGUAGGAAAGCUGAAAGACGGUUUACGCUGUCACUUACAGAUGGGCCCGCGGCGCAUUAGCUAGUUGGUGAGGUAACGGCUCACCAAGGCGACGAUGCGUAGCCGACCUGAGAGGGUGAUCGGCCACACUGGGACUGAGACACGGCCCAGACUCCUACGGGAGGCAGCAGUAGGGAAUCUUCCGCAAUGGACGAAAGUCUGACGGAGCAACGCCGCGUGAGUGAUGAAGGUUUUCGGAUCGUAAAACUCUGUUGUUAGGGAAGAACAAGUACGAGAGUAACUGCUCGUACCUUGACGGUACCUAACCAGAAAGCCACGGCUAACUACGUGCCAGCCGCCGCCGUAACAC
rnacentral:rRNA from 1 species